CCUACGGGCGGCAGCAGUGAGGAAUAUUGGUCAAUGGGCGGGAGCCUGAACCAGCCAAGCCGCGUGAGGGAAGAAGGUACAGCGUAUCGUAAACCUCUUUUGUCAGGGAACAAAGGCGGGGACUAGUCCCCGGAUGAGGGUACCUGAAGAAAAAGCAUCGGCUAACUCCGUGCCAGCAGCCGCGGUAAUACGGAGGAGGCGAGCGUUAUCCGGAUUUAUGGGGGUUAAGGGGUGCGCAGGCGGCCUGUUAAGUCAGCGGUAAAAGCCCGGGGCUAAACCCCGGCGAGCCGUUGAAACUGGCGGGCUGGAGUUGGAGAGAAGUACGCGGAAUGCGCGGUGUAGCGGUGAAAUGCUUAGAUAUCGCGCAGAACCCCGAUUGCGAAGGCAGCGUACCGGCUCCACACUGACGCUGAGGCACGAAAGCGUGGGUAUCGAACAGGAUUAGAUACCCCGGUAGUC
rnacentral:rRNA from 1 species